rnacentral:sRNA from 1 species
GGCUGCCAUGGGCUGAGCAGCUUCCCUCUACCACGCCCUUCUAUCAAGAUCACAACCAGUUACAGAUUUCUUUGUUCCUUCUCCACUCCCACUGCUUCACUUGACUAGCCUUAA